rnacentral:misc_RNA from 1 species
GAACGCACCUUGCACCCUUUGGUAUUCCGAAGGGUAUGCUCGUUUGAGUAUCAUGAACACCUCAACUCUCAUGGUUUGCCAUGAUGAGCUUGGACUUUGGGGGUCUUGCUGGCCUAUGGUCGGCUCCUCUCAAAUGAAUCAGCUUACCAGUGUUUGGUGGCGUCACAGGUGUGAUAACUAUCUACGCUUGUGGCUUUCCAUCAGGUAACCUUCAGCGAUGGAGGUUUGCUGGGGCUCAUAAAUGUCUCUCCUCAGCGAGGACAGCUUUUUUGAACGUUUGAUCUCAAAUCAGGUAGGACUACCCGCUGAACUUAAG